rnacentral:rRNA from 1 species
AGAUAAUAGAUACCCUGGUAGUCCCAGCUGUAAACGAUGCAGACUCGGUGAUGAGUUGGCUACAUGCCAUCUCAGUGCCGCAGGGAAGCCGUUAAGUUUGCCGCCUGGGGAGUACGGUCGCAAGACUGAAACUUAAAGGAAUUGGCGGGGAGCACCACAAAGGGUGAAGCCUGCGGUUCAAUUGGAGUCAACGCCGGGAAACUACUUACCGGGGGUCGGACAGCAGUAUGAAGGUCAAGCUGAAGACUUUACCAGACAAGCUGAGAGGAGGUGCAUGGCCGUCGCCAGCUCGUGCCGUGAGGUGUCCUGUUAAGUUCAGGUAACGAGCGAGACCCCUGCCUCUAGUUGCUACCUUUACUCUCAGGAGUAGUGGAGCUAAUUAGAGGGACUGCCGUCGCUGAGACGGAGGAAGGAGGGGGUCUACGGCAGGUCAGUAUG